rnacentral:lncRNA from 1 species
AUCAAAACAUAGUAGAAUACAUAUGUUGAGGGGGAGAAUCUGAAUUUUAAUCAAGCAAAAUCAUUAAUGACAUAUAAGCCAAACAAUUGAUUGUAUAAUAUGAAGGCUUAUAUAAUUCCAAAUGAAAGGGGGAGCUUUGACUCCGAAAUUUAUUGUUUCACUCCUUUCAAGCUUGGAUAAAUUGAACUACCAGACAUUUGAAUUCAUUUAUGAAUUUUAUUUCAUUGUUUAUUGUGCAAUUCACUUUACACAUACUCAAUGUUUUGUCAUCAUCAAAAAGGGGGAGAUUGUGGAGUGAUUGAUUAACGAGUCGACUCCCGAAGUGUGCGAGUCGACUCCGAGGUUCACCGAGUCGACUCCAGGGUAGUAAGAGUCGACUCCAAGAGGAAUACAAAGAAAAAGUCAGAGAGCAGUUUUCGGGUCUGAGAUUCGAGUCGACUCCAGUGGAACGCGAGUCGACUCCGAUGGUUGGCAGGUCGACUCCAAAGACAGCAAGAGUCGACUCUCAGCAGUACACAAAGAAAAAGUCAGAGGGCAGAUUCUGGACUCUGAGAUUCGAGUCGACU